rnacentral:rRNA from 1 species
CCAAGGAAGGCAGCAGGCGCGCAAAUUACCCAAUCCCGACUCGGGGAGGUAGUGACAAUAAAUACUGAUACAGGGCUCUUUUGGGUCUUGUAAUCGGAAUGAGUACAAUUUAAACCCCUUAACGAGGAACAAUUGGAGGGCAAGUCUGGUGCCAGCAGCCGCGGUAAUUCCAGCUCCAAUAGCGUAUAUUAAAGUUGUUGCAGUUAAAAAGCUCGUAGUUGAACCUUGGGCCUGGCUGGCCGGUCCGCCUCACCGCGUGUACUGGUCCGGCCGGGCCUUUCCUUCUGGAGAGCCGCAUGCCCUUCACUGGGUGUGUCGGGGAACCAGGACUUUUACUUUGAAAAAAUUAGAGUGUUCAAAGCAGGCCUUUGCUCGAAUACGUUAGCAUGGAAUAAUAGAAUAGGACGUGCGGUCCUAUUUUGUUGGUUUCUAGGACCGCCGUAAUGAUUAAUAGGGAUAGUCGGGGGCAUCAGUAUUCAAUUGUCAGAGGUGAAAUUCUUGGAUUUAUUGAAGACUAACUACUGCGAAAGCAUUUGCCAAGGAUGUUUUCAUUAAUCAGUGAACGAAAGUUAGGGGAUCGAAGACGAUCAGAUACCGUCGUAGUCUUAACCGUAAACUAUGCCGACUAGGGAUCGGGCGAUGUUUCUAUCUUGACUCGCUCGGCACCUUACGAGAAAUCAUAAG